GUCUGUAGCAAUAAGAUCUUUCACUUAUCUAAGAGCAAUCUGACUGAAUCUCUACAGUUUCUAAGCUCCGUUGAAAUGGAGCGCUCUGGUUAAACUGGGGCUAUGGAGCCGGUUGUCAGUCUCUGUAAAUUCUGGUUUAACCAUGUCGGCCCAUGUGCCUUGCAUCUGUGUCACUCGUUGGGAGCUGUGGUUUUACGUCGGUAAUGGUGUUCGUCAGCAGUCUACGCAUCCCCAUUGGCAGUCUAUCUCUGCACGCUCAGCCCCACCCGGCUUCGCAUCGCCACGCUGCCUCCCCAAUUUCCUCCGCUCGCCACCUGUGAGAUCCCGUGGGAUCUAUCAUCUCCCUCGCCGGUAAAAGCUCCUCCACCUCACCUGCUGGCCGAACCCUCUCCCUCUCCUCCCUUCCAAAGCCGACAGCCAAGGAGGCUCGUGCCAACAAAAAUCAGAGAGGAGCUUGCCUGUGUUUACAAAUCAAGGUGGGGAGCUUGAGAUCCAGCGCCACCUGCCGGAUCGACGAAUGAAGCUCGGGAUCCAGCGGCUAGGAGCAGCACCCUUGCUACACAUCUUCCCCAGCUCAUCUCCCGACGAGGACCGUGGUGGCUGCCUCCAACAACGCCAGUCGAUGGGCUCCCCAGCUGCACCACAUCCUCAGGUCGCCGUCUCCUACAACCGGCAACGCUGAUCCGCGCGGGGAGGGCCUGGAUCCCGCGCGUUGUGGCCACACGGCAAUGCGGGGUAUGAAGGUUGCUACACCCCACUUCGCGAUGGACAGAGGGAGGGGAAGCUCCUCCGUCGGGCGUUCGCCGGCUCGCAGGUUUUGUGAAUUCCAUCUGAAGAGGUACUUUGAGUAUAAUAUCAUUUCAGGCAUAACUCA